GGGAGACGACAACAGAAUACUGUUUAUUGUCUGCUUAAUAUCGGAAGGGGUACAUGUGUUUAUAUAGGAGGACAGCCUCAACUAAACCUUAGAUAACUUGGACUCUAACUUGGACUGUAAUAUAACUUGGACUCUAAGAUAGGUAAGAUAACUUGGGCUAAGCCCGUAAUUAACCCUGCCCAUUGAGCCUCCUCCGUUGGUACGUUGUACCGGUCAUAACCACCCUCCAUCUCGUAUGAACACUAUAGUGAUAUAAAAUGAGUGUUAAAAGAGUAGCGCACUGUAGCCAGAUAUUUGGGAUUUCAUCAUCCUAGAAACAAGACCGCAGGACACUAAAACUAAUAGGAGUAGGAAGGCAUCCUUGGAAAUAAAACAAGACCAACAUGAGUUGAGGAUGCAAGUGCAUAUCAUGAAUGGUACAUAGAGCACAUAUAUACAUCAAGGCAGACAGGGAUCAAAUUAAGUGGUUUAUACUACAUCCCAAAACAAAUGAGACUGCUCCAUGUGUGUGAUGGAAAACUACAUACAUAUGUGCAUAUAUAUUUAGGUGUGAUGCCUGGUUGUUCAAUAUGAAGAAGUGUUUCAAACUUUCAGUGGGAUGGGAACUAACAUGAAUAUGAGCUAUAUAUAUUCUAUUAGUUACUGCUCAAGAAAUAUAUAUAUUCGGCAAGUUCWAUUUUUUUAUUGCAAUAUAUUCAACAGGUUUCUAGGCUAGUGGCAGCAUGAUAAUAACAAGACAGAUAAACGAACAAACAAACAAAAACAGUAGCCCCAUCGUUAUGCAAGAUUGGCAAGGAUGGACUAUAGCAGCCUAAUCAGACAUAGCAAUGGCAUGAUGGCCACGACGAGCUCAAAGCAACCACUCGAGGCAACGGACAGGAGCUCACCAUGGCUGUUUAUGUAGUCGUUCUGCCGUCGCACGGAAGCAGCGCCAAGGUGUUUGGCACAGUGGACCCCUUGUCGUCUGCAUCGGCAAUUGUGCUAUACCGAAUCAAAUCCAGCUGCACACAAGAGAAAUAACAAAUAAUCUUGAGGUCAAAUCAAAAAACAAAACAAGAAAUCAUGGACUCGAGCUUGGAGAAAAGAUUGGGUGAGCCUAGUUGAGGAAAGGUACAACAACAUCUAUGACCAAGUUGAGGUCAUGAAUA
rnacentral:lncRNA from 1 species